rnacentral:rRNA from 1 species
GUCCACGCCGUAAACGAUGUCGACUUGGAGGUUGUUCCCUUGAGGAGUGGCUUCCGGAGCUAACGCGUUAAGUCGACCGCCUGGGGAGUACGGCCGCAAGGUUAAAACUCAAAUGAAUUGACGGGGGCCCGCACAAGCGGUGGAGCAUGUGGUUUAAUUCGAUGCAACGCGAAGAACCUUACCUACUCUUGACAUCCACAGAACUUUCCAGAGAUGGAUUGGUGCCUUCGGGAACUGUGAGACAGGUGCUGCAUGGCUGUCGU